UCCAGGAAGCGGACUCGAGAGUGGUUCCAAUAAGCUUGAAGCUUUCAUCACAAUCGAGCUAAAGCAAAUUAGUAUAAACUAAACUAAUCAUAAAAAUGUAAAAAGAUAUAUCAUAGGCUAUAGGAGCUAGUCUACCCAAGAAGUAAUACUAAAAAGGAAAACUUUAUCAGAUUACACGAUAUUUUUGGAAGUAAAAAAGGGCUGUCGUUACUAACAGGGUCAUUUAAAGUUUUAAAAAUAUGUGCAAAAACGUUGGACGAUUUAUAUGAAUAACAUUUUUUUCAUUGAGUCAAAUGAUAAAUUUUCCGGUACCUCUUUCAAAGAACUGCCUAAAAGACAUUCCAUUUUGUUCACAAUAGUAGAGAAGUAGCGCUGAUGCUUAAAUAUUUUUCUCUCACAGAUGGAUACAAAUUGAUAAGAAGUUACUAAGUAUUUAAGUCGAAAUUUCGAGUUAAUAUCUCAAAAAUUCGAGUUACUAAGUCGAAAUUAUUUUGAGUUACUAAGUCGAAAUUUCGACUUACGUAUCUCGAAAUUUCGAGUUAAGUUACUCGAAAUUUCGAGUUAAUAACACAAAAUGUUGACUUCGAAUCUUGGCCUUUAAUCCGCAAAAUUUGAACGUCUGUCCAUCUGUCAAAGGCCAAAAAUUUAAUGGACGACUUUUGACUCUUCGAAGUGGAAUCACCUAUCUACACAUCUAUAUAUUGUACCCAACAUGUAGAGACUUGAACAUAUACUGUUAGAAACAUAAAUGUAGUUUCUAAUAUUUAUUGUAUCUGACGCUAUUUAUUUUACGUCUGUUUGGCGUCUUCAGCCACGUGAUAAUUUGCGGCGUUCAUUGACGUCAACGUCAUACUUGUUUAUACUUCCGCCCAGACUUUGAAACGUUAACUGAGGACAUUAAUUAUUCUGAUGAGACUUGAUGAGUAAGAGACCAAAUUCGAGAAUCGCUAUAUCUAGAGAAAUAAAAGAGUAAAGGCGCA